rnacentral:rRNA from 1 species
CGGACGGGUGAGCAACGCGUGGAAAACCUGCCGUAUACUGGGGGACAACACUUAGAAAUAGGUGCUAAUACCGCAUAAGCGCACAGCUUCGCAUGAAGCGGUGUGAAAAACUCUGGUGGUAUACGAUGGUUCCGCGUCUGAUUAGCUAGUUGGUGGGGUAAUGGCCUACCAAGGCAACGAUCAGUAGCCGGCCUGAGAGGGUGAACGGCCACAUUGGGACUGAGACACGGCCCAAACUCCUACGGGAGGCAGCAG